rnacentral:tRNA from 1 species
GGAGGUUUAGCUCAGUGGUAGAGCGCUUGCCUAGCAAGCACAAGGCCCUGGGUUCGGUCCCCAGCUCCG